UACGUAGGGUGCGAGCGUUAAUCGGAAUUACUGGGCGUAAAGCGUGCGCAGGCGGUGAUGUAAGACAGGUGUGAAAUCCCGGGGCUCAACCUCGGAACUGCAUUUGUGACUGCAUCGCUGGAGUGCGGCAGAGGGGGAUGGAAUUCCGCGUGUAGCAGUGAAAUGCGUAGAUAUGCGGAGGAACACCGAUGGCGAAGGCAAUCCCCUGGGCCUGCACUGACGCUCAUGCACGAAAGCGUGGGGAGCAAACAGG
rnacentral:rRNA from 1 species